rnacentral:rRNA from 1 species
UGGGGAAUAUUGCACAAUGGGCGCAAGCCUGAUGCAGCCAUGCCGCGUGUGUGAAGAAGGCCUUUGGGUUGUAAAGCACUUUCAGCGGGGAGGAAGGCGAUAAGGUUAAUAACCUUUUCGAUUGACGUUACCCGCAGAAGAAGCACCGGCUAACUCCGUGCCAGCAGCCGCGGUAAUACGGAGGGUGCAAGCGUUAAUCGGAAUUACUGAGCGUAAAGCGCACGCAGGCGGUCUGUCAAGUCGGAUGUGAAAUCCCCGGGCUUAACCUAGGAACUGCAUUCGAAACUGGCAGGCUAGAGUCUUGUAGAGGGGGGUAGAAUUCCAGGUGUAGCGGUGAAAUGCGUAGAGAUCUGGAGGAAUACCGGUGGCGAAGGCGGCCCCCUGGACAAAGACUGACGCUCAGGUGCGAAAGCGUGGGGAGCAAACAGG